CAUGCAGAACGAGAAAACAAAGAAGAGAUAAGAGAAGAAGAAGAGGGGAGUAGAGAUAAGGGUUUAAAUGAUCUUUCUAAUGGUCUGGAGGCCCUUUCUCUUUCAUCUUCCUCUUCUUCUUCCUCUUCUUCUUCAUCU
rnacentral:ribozyme from 1 species